CGGGCCGUAGCGCAGCUUGGUAGCGCACUACCUUGGGGUGGUAGGGGUCCCGGGUUCAAAUCCCGGCGGUCCGACCA
rnacentral:tRNA from 1 species